rnacentral:rRNA from 1 species
AAAGGAAUUGACGGGAGCCCGCACAAGCAGUGGAGUAUGUGGUUUAAUUCGACGCAACGCGAAGAACCUUACCAAGGAUUGACAUCCAGAGAAGACUGGGUAAUGCCGGUUGUGCCCCUUCGGGGGAACUCUGAGACAGGUGGUGCAUGGUUGUCGUCAGCUCGUGUCGUGAGAUGUUGGGUUAAGUCCCGCAACGAGCGCAACCCUUACUGUUAGUUGCUACGCAAGAGCACUCUGGCAGGACUGCCGUUGACAAAACGGAGGAAGGUGGGGACGACGUCAAAUCAUCAUGCCCCUUAUAUCUUGGGCUACACACGUACUACAAUGGCGCAAACAAAGAGCAGCGAACCUGUGAAGGGGAGCGAAUCUCAUAAAAGGCGUCUCAGUUCGGACUGCAGGCUGCAACUCGCCUGCACGAAGUUGGAAUUGCUAGUAAUCGCAGAUCAGCAUGCUGCGGUGAAUACGUUCCCGGGCUUUGUACACACCGCCCGU